rnacentral:lncRNA from 1 species
UCCUUCAGCUUGUGCUGCAGGCACUGUGCAACACCACUGAGCAGCCCACUGAACAGGCUUUUUUCAUCAAGGAUGUCAGACUGGGAGAAAGCAAGUAGACACUUGGAUAUAUAUAAUAACCCUCUAAUUUACAUCACCGAGAAUGGGUUUUCCCAAAGUGACCCUGCUCUACUUGAUGACAGCCAAUGAUGGGAGUAUUUCAGGCUGAAUUUACAGGAAAUUUUAUAAGGUACCAUUUGAGAUGCUGAAAGAUCAAUUGUUCUAACAUUAUAUAAUUUUCCCUUGUGCUUAUUUGCAUUCAGCAAUGACCAGUGAUUCUUGAAG